rnacentral:rRNA from 1 species
CAGUCGCCGCGGUAAUACGUAGGUGGCAGGCGUUGUCCGGAAUUAUUGGGCGUAAAGGGCUCGCAGGCGGUUUCUUAAGUCUGAUGUGAAAGCCCCCGGCUCAACCGGGGAGGGUCAUUGGAAACUGGGAAACUUGAGUGCAGAAGAGGAGACUGGAAUUCCACGUGUAGCGGUGAAAUGCGUAGAGAUGUGGAGGAACACCAGUGGCGAAGGCGACUCUCUGGUCUGUAACUGACGCUGAGGAGCGAAAGCGUGGGGAGCGAACAGGAUUAGAUACCCGCGUAGUCCCUGUCUCUUAUAC